UUGUAAGUAAUGAAGAGCGUACGGUGGAUGCCUUGGCACCAGGAGCCGAUGAAGGACGUAGGAGGCUGCGAUAAGCCUCGGGGAGCUGUCAACCGAGCUGUGAUCCGAGGAUGUCCGAAUGGGGAAACCCAGCACGAGUGAUGUCGUGUUACCCGCGCCUGAAUAUAUAGGGCGUGUGGAGGGAACGUGGGGAAGUGAAACAUCUCAGUACCCACAGGAAGAGAAAACAACCGUGAUUCCGUGAGUAGUGGCGAGCGAAAGCGGAAGAGGCUAAACCAUGGGUGUGUGAUAGCCGGCAGGUGUUGCAUUCGUGGGGUUGUGGGGUUCAUUUUGUCUGUUCUGCCGAGCAGGCCAACAGUAAGAAAUCACAGGGUUAGUGGAAGUGGUCUGGAACGGCCUGUCGUAGAGGGUGAGAAUCCCGUACACGAAAACUUUGUGACUGUUGUAAUGGAAACCCAAGUAGCACCGGGCCCGUGAAAUCUGGUGUGAAUCUGUCGGGACCACCCGAUAAGCCUGAAUACUCCCUGGUGACCGAUAGCGGACUAGUACCGUGAGGGAAAGGUGAAAAGUACCCCGGGAGGGGAGUGAAAUAGUACCUGAAACCGUGCGCUUACAAUCCGUCAGAGCCUUCGAACAGUUUACUGUUGGGGGUGAUGGCGUGCCUUUUGAAGAAUGAGCCUGCGAGUUAGUGGCAUGUCGCGAGGUUAACCCGUGUGGGGUAGCCGUAGCGAAAGCGAGUCCGAAUAGGGCGAUCGUAGUGGCAUGCUCUAGACCCGAAGCGGAGUGAUCUACCCAUGGCCAGGUUGAAGCGACGGUAAGACGUCGUGGAGGACCGAACCCACUUAGGUUGAAAACUGAGGGGAUGAGUUGUGGGUAGGGGUGAAAGGCCAAUCAAACUCCGUGAUAGCUGGUUCUCCCCGAAAUGCAUUUAGGUGCAGCGUCGCGUGUUUCUCACCGGAGGUAGAGCUACUGGAUGGUCUAGGGGGCCCACAAGCUUACCGAAAUCAGCCAAACUCCGAAUGCCGGUGAGUGAGAGCGCGGCAGUGAGACUGCGGGCGAUAAGGUUCGUAGUCGAGAGGGAAACAGCCCAGAUCGCCAGCUAAGGUCCCUAAGCGUGUACUAAGUGGAAAAGGAUGUGGGGUCGCGAAGACAACCAGGAGGUUGGCUUAGAAGCAGCCACCCUUGAAAGAGUGCGUAAUAGCUCACUGGUCAAGUGAUCCUGCGCCGACAAUGUAGCGGGGCUCAAGUACACCACCGAAGCUGCGGCAUUCACGCAAUAGCCCCCAGUUGAUCCAAGGAUUUUCUGGCAGGUGUGUGGAUGGGUAGGGGAGCGUCGUGUGGCCAUGGAAGCGGCAGGGUGACCUAGCCGUGGAGGCCACACGAGUGAGAAUGCAGGCAUGAGUAGCGAAAGACGAGUGAGAAACUCGUCCGCCGAAUGACCAAGGGUUCCUGGGCCAGGUUAAUCCGCCCAGGGUGAGUCGGGACCUAAGACGAGGCCGACAGGCGUAGCCGAUGGACAACGGGUUGAUAUUCCCGUACCCGUGUGAACGCGCCCAUGGUGAAUCAGUGAUACUAACCAUCCUGAAGCCACGAGAAGACCUUCGGGUCUCGAGUUGGUGGAUGCAUGGGACCUGAUCUGGUAGUAGCCAAGCGAUGGGGUGACGCAGGAAGGUAGCUGAGCCAGUCAGUGGUAAUACUGGUGUAAGCGUGUAGGGCGUGACCUAGGCAAAUCCGGGUCACACAUAGCCUGAGACGUGAUGCGUAGCCGAUUGAGGCGAAUUCAGUGAUCCUAUGCUGCCGAGAAAAGCCUCUAGCGAGCUUUCACACGGCCCGUACCCCAAACCGACACAGGUGGUCAGGUAGAGAAUACUAAGGCGAUCGAGAUAACUAUGGUUAAGGAACUCGGCAAAAUGCCCCCGUAACUUCGGGAGAAGGGGGGCCCUGU
rnacentral:rRNA from 1 species